UUUUUGAAAUGUCUGUCAGGUCUACCUCUGCUUAAGUUAAUAUUUAUUUAAUUAUCACUGGGCAAGGUAGACUUUACAGCCGUUUCUUCAA
rfam:Tribolium castaneum strain Georgia GA2 linkage group LG2, whole genome shotgun sequence.